GGUUAAGCGACUAAGCGUACACGGUGGAUGCCCUGGCAGUCAGAGGCGAUGAAGGACGUGCUAAUCUGCGAUAAGCGUCGGUAAGGUGAUAUGAACCGUUAUAACCGGCGAUUUCCGAAUGGGGAAACCCAGUGUGUUUCGACACACUAUCAUUAACUGAAUCCAUAGGUUAAUGAGGCGAACCGGGGGAACUGAAACAUCUAAGUACCCCGAGGAAAAGAAAUCAACCGAGAUUCCCCCAGUAGCGGCGAGCGAACGGGGAGGAGCCCAGAGCCUGAAUCAGUGUGUGUGUUAGUGGAAGCGUCUGGAAAGGCGCGCGAUACAGGGUGACAGCCCCGUACACAAAAAUGCACAUGCUGUGAGCUCGAUGAGUAGGGCGGGACACGUGGUAUCCUGUCUGAAUAUGGGGGGACCAUCCUCCAAGGCUAAAUACUCCUGACUGACCGAUAGUGAACCAGUACCGUGAGGGAAAGGCGAAAAGAACCCCGGCGAGGGGAGUGAAAAAGAACCUGAAACCGUGUACGUACAAGCAGUGGGAGCACGCUUAGGCGUGUGACUGCGUACCUUUUGUAUAAUGGGUCAGCGACUUAUAUUCUGUAGCAAGGUUAACCGAAUAGGGGAGCCGAAGGGAAACCGAGUCUUAACUGGGCGUUAAGUUGCAGGAUAUAGACCCGAAACCCGGUGAUCUAGCCAUGGGCAGGUUGAAGGUUGGGUAACACUAACUGGAGGACCGAACCGACUAAUGUUGAAAAAUUAGCGGAUGACUUGUGGCUGGGGGUGAAAGGCCAAUCAAACCGGGAGAUAGCUGGUUCUCCCCGAAAGCUAUUUAGGUAGCGCCUCGUGAAUUCAUCUCCGGGGGUAGAGCACUGUUUCGGCAAGGGGGUCAUCCCGACUUACCAACCCGAUGCAAACUGCGAAUACCGGAGAAUGUUAUCACGGGAGACACACGGCGGGUGCUAACGUCCGUCGUGAAGAGGGAAACAACCCAGACCGCCAGCUAAGGUCCCAAAGUCAUGGUUAAGUGGGAAACGAUGUGGGAAGGCCCAGACAGCCAGGAUGUUGGCUUAGAAGCAGCCAUCAUUUAAAGAAAGCGUAAUAGCUCACUGGUCGAGUCGGCCUGCGCGGAAGAUGUAACGGGGCUAAACCAUGCACCGAAGCUGCGGCAGCGACGCUGAUGCGUUGUUGGGUAGGGGAGCGUUCUGUAAGCCUGCGAAGGUGUGCUGUGAGGCAUGCUGGAGGUAUCAGAAGUGCGAAUGCUGACAUAAGUAACGAUAAAGCGGGUGAAAAGCCCGCUCGCCGGAAGACCAAGGGUUCCUGUCCAACGUUAAUCGGGGCAGGGUGAGUCGACCCCUAAGGCGAGGCCGAAAGGCGUAGUCGAUGGGAAACAGGUUAAUAUUCCUGUACUUGGUGUUACUGCGAAGGGGGGACGGAGAAGGCUAUGUUGGCCGGGCGACGGUUGUCCCGGUUUAAGCGUGUAGGCUGGUUUUCCAGGCAAAUCCGGAAAAUCAAGGCUGAGGCGUGAUGACGAGGCACUACGGUGCUGAAGCAACAAAUGCCCUGCUUCCAGGAAAAGCCUCUAAGCAUCAGGUAACAUCAAAUCGUACCCCAAACCGACACAGGUGGUCAGGUAGAGAAUACCAAGGCGCUUGAGAGAACUCGGGUGAAGGAACUAGGCAAAAUGGUGCCGUAACUUCGGGAGAAGGCACGCUGAUAUGUAGGUGAAGUCCCUCGCGGAUGGAGCUGAAAUCAGUCGAAGAUACCAGCUGGCUGCAACUGUUUAUUAAAAACACAGCACUGUGCAAACACGAAAGUGGACGUAUACGGUGUGACGCCUGCCCGGUGCCGGAAGGUUAAUUGAUGGGGUUAGCGCAAGCGAAGCUCUUGAUCGAAGCCCCGGUAAACGGCGGCCGUAACUAUAACGGUCCUAAGGUAGCGAAAUUCCUUGUCGGGUAAGUUCCGACCUGCACGAAUGGCGUAAUGAUGGCCAGGCUGUCUCCACCCGAGACUCAGUGAAAUUGAACUCGCUGUGAAGAUGCAGUGUACCCGCGGCAAGACGGAAAGACCCCGUGAACCUUUACUAUAGCUUGACACUGAACAUUGAGCCUUGAUGUGUAGGAUAGGUGGGAGGCUUUGAAGUGUGGACGCCAGUCUGCAUGGAGCCGACCUUGAAAUACCACCCUUUAAUGUUUGAUGUUCUAACGUUGACCCGUAAUCCGGGUUGCGGACAGUGUCUGGUGGGUAGUUUGACUGGGGCGGUCUCCUCCUAAAGAGUAACGGAGGAGCACGAAGGUUGGCUAAUCCUGGUCGGACAUCAGGAGGUUAGUGCAAUGGCAUAAGCCAGCUUGACUGCGAGCGUGACGGCGCGAGCAGGUGCGAAAGCAGGUCAUAGUGAUCCGGUGGUUCUGAAUGGAAGGGCCAUCGCUCAACGGAUAAAAGGUACUCCGGGGAUAACAGGCUGAUACCGCCCAAGAGUUCAUAUCGACGGCGGUGUUUGGCACCUCGAUGUCGGCUCAUCACAUCCUGGGGCUGAAGUAGGUCCCAAGGGUAUGGCUGUUCGCCAUUUAAAGUGGUACGCGAGCUGGGUUUAGAACGUCGUGAGACAGUUCGGUCCCUAUCUGCCGUGGGCGCUGGAGAAUUGAGGGGGGCUGCUCCUAGUACGAGAGGACCGGAGUGGACGCAUCACUGGUGUUCGGGUUGUCAUGCCAAUGGCACUGCCCGGUAGCUAAAUGCGGAAGAGAUAAGUGCUGAAAGCAUCUAAGCACGAAACUUGCCCCGAGAUGAGUUCUCCCUGACUCCUUGAGAGUCCUGAAGGAACGUUGAAGACGACGACGUUGAUAGGCCGGAUGUGUAAGCGCAGCGAUGCGUUGAGCUAACCGGUACUAAUGAACCGUGAGGCUUAACCUUACAACGCCGAAGGUGUUUUG
rnacentral:rRNA from 1 species